rnacentral:rRNA from 1 species
UACGGAGGGGGCUAGCGUUGUUCGGAAUUACUGGGCGUAAAGCGCGCGUAGGCGAUUCGGUAAGUCUCAUGUGAAAGCCCACAGCCUAACUGUGGAAGUGCAUGAGAUACUGUCGAAUUUGAGUUCAGGAGAGGAAGGCAGAAUUCCCGGUGUAGCGGUGAAAUGCGCAGAUAUCAGGAGGAACACCUACGGCGAAGGCAGCUCGCUGGGACGGUACUGACGCUGAGACGCGAAAGCGUGGGGAGCAAACAGG